UUACUUAUUGUAGGAUGGAUGGCAUGGCACCUGUGUGAAGAACGAUGAUAAUGUUUCCGUGAGGUGGAAUUUCCAAGAGGCGACGUCGACGGCGCAGAUUGGAGGCGUGCGCACGUGGCUUCGGGAUUUAAUCACGAGUGUAUUGAAGGACAUUUUUUGGCCGGAGACCUCGGAAGGGGAAAUAGGUAUUGUGGGGCCCGAUGUGAUUAUGGGGAUUCUAG
rnacentral:misc_RNA from 1 species